GUGCUCACUUCAGCAGCACAUAUACUAAAAACCUGGAAUAAUACAGAGAUUAGCAUGGCCACAGUGCAAGGAUGACAUACAACUUUGUGAACGGCUCCAUUAAAAA